CACCUGAAUUGAUUAAAGUUUACUUCUUAUUAAUUGGAAGCUCCUCCCACCUGACUGGUUGUAAUUUGCGCAUUUGGCGGAUCAGUCAGAGCUGCAGACUUUCCAUGUUUUUUCCUCUGCUGUUCGACCACAAUGGAGGACUCCUACCAGCACCCCGUUUUCCUGGAGAGUCCCAGACCUCUAGAGGACGUCAGGAGGAGAGUGGAGCUUUAUUUUAGAGUGAGGCGCAGAUCAGGCGGAGGAGAGUGCGGACAUCUGACCGCUGUGCGUCAAAACAUCUACAGGAUCGACUUCAGACACCAACGAGACCAGCAGGAAGUCCUGAGAAGAUCCCCGCAUGUAGUGAAGCUGGAAGAUGAUCAUGUGGAGAUCAGAGUCAGAAGCAGCUUGGAAGCUGACGCCUCCUCAUCCAGCUGCAAUACCUCACCUUCUCCAGCAGAGAACUCUGAGGUUGUUCAGGAUGAAGAUCAACAGUUUCCAUCACUGAAAGACAACCAUUUUUCUGAACAGGAGCUCAUCUCUGCGCGCUCUGCAUUGCUUCACUCACUGGAGGACGGAGGUAGUUCAUCUGGAACUUUAGCUGGUUAUUCUGGUGAAGUUAGUCCCAGGAAACCAGACCAGGGCAAAGACUCUGAGGGGUCUGCGGCCAGCUUUGAGGAAAAUCUUAAAACAAGAGAGACAAAGUGAGGAGGUCAGCCCCGCUGGGAGGACUGAUGGGGAAUGUCCUCCAAAACAUGAAUGCUCAGAGGAGUCCUUUCCUUCAGAUGAGAGUUUGAGUGAAGCAUGCAGACUCUGUGACUCUGAUAUCGAGACAAACACAAAUGCUGCUGUAACUGCUGGGGGGCGUGUCCAUGUUCAGAUAGUCCAGGGAACCAUCGAGACUCAGGAGGUAAGAAAUGUUUUACCUAAGGCAUAUAUCAGUAAAGUUUUGUUUUACCUAGGCCCAGUAGAUGUUGAUGUUAUGUUCUGUGUGAUUUGGUGUGCC
rnacentral:lncRNA from 1 species